rnacentral:pre_miRNA from 1 species
GAUAAGAUUAUUUUUUAGUUUUUUUAUACAAUGUUCUAACUCUUUGUCUUAUUUAAAAUUUUUUUGUGAUUAAUGUUUUUAUUCUUACUAGAUGAUAAAACAUGAAUAGUACUUUAUGCAUAACUAAUUUUUUUAAGUUUUUGUAUAAAUUUUUUAAAUAAGACGAAUGGUCAAACGUUGGACACGCAAAA